GACGAACGCUGGCGGCGCGCCUAACACAUGCAAGUCGAACGGAGCUGAGAGAAGCUUGCUUUUCUUAGCUUAGUGGCGAACGGGUGAGUAACGCGUGAGUAACCUGCCCUGGAGUGGGGGACAACAGUUGGAAACGACUGCUAAUACCGCAUAAGCCCACGAUCCGGCAUCGGAUUGAGGGAAAAGGAUUUAUUCGCUUCAGGAUGGACUCGCGUCCAAUUAGCUAGUUGGUGAGGUAACGGCCCACCAAGGCGACGAUUGGUAGCCGGACUGGGAGGUUGAACGGCCAGAUUGGGACUGAGACACGGCCCAGACUCCUACGGGAGGCAGCAGUGGGGGAUAUUGCACAAUGGGGGAAACCCUGAUGAAGCGACGCCGCGUGGAGGAAGAAGGUUUUCGGAUUGUAAACUCCUGUCGUUAGGGACGAUAAUGACGGUACCUAACAUGAAAGCACCGGCUAACUACGUG
rnacentral:rRNA from 1 species